rnacentral:rRNA from 1 species
CCUACGGGAGGCAGCAGUGGGGAAUAUUGCACAAUGGGCGCAAGCCUGAUGCAGCGACGCCGCGUGAGGGAUGGAGGCCUUCGGGUUGUAAACCUCUUUUAUCGGGGAGCAAGCGAGAGUGAGUUUACCCGUUGAAUAAGCACCGGCUAACUACGUGCCAGCAGCCGCGGUAAUACGUAGGGUGCAAGCGUUAUCCGGAAUUAUUGGGCGUAAAGGGCUCGUAGGCGGUUCGUCGCGUCCGGUGUGAAAGUCCAUCGCUUAACGGUGGAUCCGCGCCGGGUACGGGCGGGCUUGAGUGCGGUAGGGGAGACUGGAAUUCCCGGUGUAACGGUGGAAUGUGUAGAUAUCGGGAAGAACACCAAUGGCGAAGGCAGGUCUCUGGGCCGUUACUGACGCUGAGGAGCGAAAGCGUGGGGAGCGAACAGGAUUAGAUACCCUGGUAGUCCACGCCGUAAACGGUGGAUGCUGGAUGUGGGGCCCGUUCCACGGGUUCCGUGUCGGAGCUAACGCGUUAAGCAUCCCGCCUGGGGAGUACGGCCGCAAGGCUAAAACUCAAAGAAAUUGACGGGGGCCCGCACAAGCGGUGGAGUAUGUGGUUUAAUUCGAUGCAACGCGAAGAACCUUACCCAGGCUUGACAUCUAGGGAACCCUUCGGAAAUGAAGGGGUGCCCUUCGGGGAGCCCUAAGACAGGUGCUGCAUGGCUGUCGUCAGCUCGUGCCGUGAGGUGUUGGGUUAAGUCCCGCAACGAGCGCAACCCCUAUCUUCAGUUGCCAGCAGGUAAGGCUGGGCACUCUGGAGAGACCGCCCCGGUCAACGGGGAGGAAGGUGGGGACGACGUCAAGUCAUCAUGGCCCUUACGCCUGGGGCUACACACGUACUACAAUGGCGCGCACAAAGGGUAGCGAGACCGCGAGGUGGAGCCAAUCCCAAAAAACGCGUCCCAGUCCGGAUUGGAGUCUGCAACUCGACUCCAUGAAGUCGGAAUCGCUAGUAAUUCGAGAUCAGCAUGCUCGGGUGAAUGCGUUCCCGGGCCUUGUACACACCGCCCGUCACACCACGAAAGUCGGUUUUACCCGAAGCCGGUGAGCUAACUCGCAAGAGAAGCAGCCGUCUACGGUAGGGCCGAUGAUUGGGGUGAAGUCGUAACAAGGUAGCCGUAGGGGAACCUGCGGCUG